rnacentral:misc_RNA from 1 species
ACAAACUUGGUCAUUUAGAGGAAGUAAAAGUCGUAACAAGGUUUCCGUAGGUGAACCUGCGGAAGGAUCAUUAUUGAAAUUAUAGCAGCCAAAGGGGGAUGGGUUAUAGCCUGAUUGCUGAUCCUUUGGGAUAUGUGCACGGCUUGACCUAUGCUCUUUGCUUGCUUUCUUAUCUCUUUCAACGCAAUGUGCACUUUUUGUAGUCCAAAUGAUUCUUUGGUCUAUGUCAACCCAUUUAAAUAUAUACACCUUGAAUGUUUAAUGAUAUUGGUAGAAGCAAAUGCUUCGAAAAAUACAUACAACUUUCAACAACGGAUCUCUUGGCUCUCGCAUCGAUGAAGAACGCAGC